CUAAGAAUAUUCCGCAAUGGACGAAAGUCUGACGGAGCGACGCCGCGUGGAUGACGAAGGCCGAAAGGUUGUAAAAUCCUUUUGUUGGGGAAGAAUAACCAUGGGAGGGAAUGCCCGUGGGAUGACAUGAACCGACGAAUAAGUCCCGGCUAACUACGUGCCAGCAGCCGCGGUAACACGUAGGGGACAAGCGUUAUUCGGAAUUACUGGGCGUAAAGGGCAUGUAGGCGGCCUUGUAAGCCUGGCGUGAAAGUCACCGGCUCAACCGGUGGAUUGCGUCGGGAACUGCAGGGCUUGAGUCAUGGAGAGGAAGGCAGAAUUCCUGGUGUAGGGGUGAAAUCUGUAGAGAUCAGGAAGAAUACCAGUGGCGAAGGCGGCCUUCUGGCCAAUGACUGACGCUGAGGUGCGAAAGUGUGGGGAUCAAACAGG
rnacentral:rRNA from 1 species